GAUUGAAGAACGUAGCGAAAUGCGAUAAGUAAUGUGAAUUGCAGAAUUCAGUGAAUCAUCGAAUCUUUGAACGCACAUUGCGCCCGCCAGUAUUCUGGCGGGCAUGCCUGUUCGAGCGUCAUUUCAACCAUCAAGCCCCCGGGCUUGUGUUGGGGACCUGCGGCUGCCGCAGGCCCUGAAAAGCAGUGGCGGGCUCGCUGUCACACCGAGCGUAGUAGAUUUUAUCUCGCUCUGGGCGUGCUGCGGGUUCCGGCCGUUAAACCACCCUUUUAACCCAAGGUUGACCUCGGAUCAGGUAGGAAGACCCGCUGAACUUAAGCAUAUCAAUAAGCGGAGGA
rnacentral:misc_RNA from 1 species